UUCGGAUUGUAGUCUGCAACUCGACUACAUGAAGCUGGAAUCGCUAGUAAUCGCGAAUCAGCAUGUCGCGGUGAAUACGUUCCCGGGUCUUGUACACACCGCCCGUCACACCAUGGGAGUUGGUAACGCCCGAAGCCAGUGACCCAACCCGCGAGGGAGGGAGCUGUCGAAGGUGGGACCGAUAACUGGGGUGAAGUCGUAACAAGGUAUC
rnacentral:rRNA from 1 species